rnacentral:misc_RNA from 1 species
AGCAGCCGCGGUAAUUCCAGCUCCAAUAGCGUAUAUUAAAGUUGUUGCAGUUAAAAAGCUCGUAGUUGAAUUUCGGGAUCAAUAUGUUGGUCGUGCCUCGGUACGUACUAGCUUAUUGGUUUCUCCUUUCUGAAGAACCAUGAUGUCAUUUAUUUGGUGUCGUGGGGAAUCAGGACUGUUACUUUGAAAAAUUAGAGUGUUUAAAGCAGGCUCACGCUUGAAUACAUUAGCAUGGAAUAAUGAAAUAGGACGUUUGAUUCUAUUUUGUUGGUUUCUAGGAUCGACGUAAUGAUUAAUAGGGAUAGUUGGGGGCAUUAGUAUUCAAUUGUCAGAGGUGAAAUUCUUGGAUUUAUUGAAGACUAACUACUGCGAAAGCAUUUGCCAAGGAUGUUUUCAUUAAUCAAGAACGAAAGUUAGGGGAUCGAAGACGAUCAGAUACCGUCGUAGUCUUAACCAUAAACCUAUGCCGACUAGGGAUCGGGAUGGAUUGUUUAAUUUUUAAUGUACUCUAUUCGGCUCC